rnacentral:misc_RNA from 1 species
UGAGUCUUGAAGGCAUAGUGAAAGCAGUAGAUAAGAGGGAGAGGUAUAGAGAGAACAGGAGAGUUUAAAUUUGUAGUAGAAAGAGAAGAGAUAGGGAGAAGAUAAAAGUGUGUACUCUGUAGAAAAAGGGGAAUAUUAAGUGUUUAGAAGAGUAGGUUGGCUUCAGUUUUAGACGUUUGCAUAUAAGGAACAGGCUUGUGGCAAUGGUAGAAGUCUCCAAUGGAGAAAACGUAGGAUGGAAUAUAGGGAGGCUUGAGA